AUGGACUACCGGGGUUUCUAAUCCCGUUCGCUACCCUAGCUUUCGUUCCUCAGCGUCAGAAAAGAUCCAGUGAGCCGCUUUCGCCACCGGUGUUCCAGAUGAUAUCAACGCAUUUCACCGCUCCACCAUCUGUUCCACUCACCUCUAUCUCCCUCCAGCCCGACGGUUUCAAGCGCAGUUCCACAGUUGAGCUGUGGGAUUUCACACCUGACCUGUCAGGCCGCCUACGAACUCUUUAAGCCCAGUGAUACCGGAUAACGUUCGGACGGUUCGUCUUACCGCGGCUGCUGGC
rnacentral:misc_RNA from 1 species